rfam:Picea glauca, whole genome shotgun sequence.
ACCCUUUCGACUCAGUAGUAGAGUAAUGCCAUGGUAAGGCGUAAGUCAUCGGUUCAAGUCCGGUAAAGGGCU